UGCGUAGGCGGUCCCGCAAGUCCGCUGUGAAAGCCCCGGGCUUAACCUGGGAACUGCAGUGGAAACUAUGGGACUUGAAUCCGGCAGAGGGGGGUGGAAUGCCACGUGUAGCAGUGAAAUGCGUAGAGAUGUGGCGGAACACCGAUGGCGAAGGCAGCCCCCUGGGCCGAGAUUGACGCUCAGGCACGAAAGCGUGGGGAGCAAACA
rnacentral:rRNA from 1 species